GACGAACGCUGGCGGCGUGCCUAAUACAUGCAAGUUGAGCGCUGAAGGUUGGUUCUUGUACCGACUGGAUGAGCAGCGAACGGGUGAGUAACGCGUGGGGAAUCUGCCUUUUAGCGGGGGACAACAUUUGGAAACGAAUGCUAAUACCGCAUAAAAACUUUAAACACAAGUUUUAAGUUUGAAAGAUGCAAUUGCUUCACUCAAAGAUGAUCCCGCGUUGUAUUGGCUAGUUGGUGAGGUAAAGGCUCAACAAGGCGAUGAUACAUAGCCGACCUGAGAGGGUGGACGGCCAAAAUGGGAAGGGGAAAAGGGCCAAGAGACUAAGGGAGGGAGCAGGAGGGAAACAUCGGAAAAGGAGGAAAGGCAGAACGAGCAAAGCCGGGUGAGUGAAGAAGGGUUUCGGAACGGAAAAGUAUGUUGGUAGAGAAGAAAGAUGGGGAGAGUGGAAAGCUCAUGAAGUGACGGUAACUAAACAGAAAGGGACGGCUAACUACGUG
rnacentral:rRNA from 1 species